GUAUCUGUACAAGAUGUGAUAACAAUCAUUUCUGCCUAUCACUGUUAGCAAUAAGUCUCUGGCAUAUAGAUGUAAGAAAAAAGAUUGUCAAAAAAGAUAUUCUUCAGUUCAAAAAUAUCAUUGACUAAAGUAACGCAUAUUCAUAUACUUUUAAUAUAGUCACCGUUGGUAAAUCCAGAAAAACCAAUCAUAUGAUUGUUUCGUCCAAAGUGAAAUAGAAUAAGGUCAUUGGUCAGAAAAUCUCUUCAAAACUGUAUAUAGGAAAUUUAUCAAUAAAAUUAUUAUGGGAAAACAGAAAUCUAAAUAUAAGAAAUCUUCUAACACCAAUUGUUUUAACAAAGUUGACAUUGAUGACAGCUUGCAGCAUAGAACCAACUUAGAAAGUAUUAUUCAGACAUUAGCAAUGAACACUGGAAAUAUGUUGGAAUAUAAUGGAAAUCAAAUAAAGAUUCGCGUAAAUGACUAUAUAGUUUAAUUACCUAGAAAAAGAAUGGGAUGAUAAGAAGUUAUUAGUAUUUAUAUCUAAGUGAUAUAGUUCUUUAAUGGUAUGAUCAAAGGUGAAUAGGGAAUUUAUUGUCCAAAGAGUUUUCCUUAGAAGGAUGUAUUUAUGAGAUAAUCAAGCUAAAUAAGAAAGUCAAUCUGAAACUUUCGCUGAUUCUGGCAGAAAUAUUACAAUGGUUUCUAGCAGCUCUUAGGGAAAGAAUGAAAAAAUGUGAAGCUGAGAUAAAUUUUUCAAAAUUAUUGCUAAGAACAAGAUGUAUGUAGAAUCAAGCGAGAACAAGUAAAAAGGAAAAACAAAAAAAUGAAAAUGUAGUGAAUAGUAGAUCUAAAAAGGAAUCAUAGAAGAGAAAAUACUAUAAAUUUGGAAAUUUAUGUUAUGUCCACAAGGUUAUAACUCCUAAAAAAUAAACAAAAGAGCGUUGAAUGACAAAGUAAUGUCACAAAUUUAUACUGAUGAUUACAUGGCUAUAUAAAAUAUACCCAAGUAUAUUUUAUUGAAUAUGAAGAAAAUGAAACUUUUCAAAUAUUAGAAUUAUUUACAAAGCUUGGAUUCAUAUGUAAUUUCAUGACAUGUAAAAAAUGUGAAACUUCAAGGAGAAUAGUAUUAUGAUUAAAAUUAAAAAUAAAAGACAAUAUUUGGAAUGUAAUAGGUCAAUACAAUAUGAAAAGACAAUAAGAAUAGAUUCGAUAUUUGAAUAUCUUGAAUUAGGAAUACCAACUGUAAUGAAAUGUCUAAAUUUAUGGGCUUUGAAUACUUUGCAUAGCAUAUAAGUUAAGUCUAAAUAAAAAUACAGAUAUCUUCUUGAUGUAUUAUCUUGAUGUAUUAA